rnacentral:tRNA from 1 species
AAAAUUGUGGCCUACUGGUUAGGUCUGAUUUGGCUUAAAACCAAAGGGUUGCCGGUUCGAUCCCCGACCAGUAGGA